UACGAAGGGGGCUAGCGUUGCUCGGAAUCACUGGGCGUGAAGCGCACGUAGGCGGCUUUCUAAGUCAGGGGUGAAAUCCUGGAGCUCAACUCCAGAACUGCCUUUGAUACUGGAGAGCUUGAGUCCGGAAGAGGUGAGUGGAACUCCGAGUGUAGAGGUGAAAUUCGUAGAUAUUCGGAAGAACACCAGUGGCGAAGGCGGCUCACUGGUCCGGUACUGACGCUGAGGUGCGAAAGCGUGGGGAGCAAACAGG
rnacentral:rRNA from 1 species